rnacentral:rRNA from 1 species
CCUACGGGAUGCAGCAGUGGGGAAUAUUGCGCAAUGGGCGAAAGCCUGACGCAGCGACGCCGCGUGAGGGAUGAAGGUCUUCGGAUCGUCAACCUCUGUCAGCAGGGAAGACCGUUCACUUUGCUAAUCAGCAGUGAAUUGACGGUACCUUCAAAGGCAGCACCGGCUAACUCCGUUCCAGCAGCCGCGGUAAUACGGAGGGUGCGAGCGUUAAUCGGAAUUACUGGGCGUAAAGCGCUCGUAGGCGGUAUGUCAAGUCAAGGGUGAAAUACCCGCGCUCAACGUGUGAACUGCCUUUGAAACUGACAAACUGGAGUGUGUGAGAGGAUAGUGGAAUGCCAGGUGUAGGAGUGAAAUCCGUAGAUAUCUGGAGGAACAUCAGUGGCGAAGGCGACUAUCUGGCACAUAACUGACGCUGAGGAGCGAAAGCGUGGGUAGCAAACAGGAUUAGAUACCCUGGUAGUC